rnacentral:rRNA from 1 species
GAUUCCGUAGGUGAACCUGCGGAGGGAUCAUUA